rnacentral:lncRNA from 1 species
AAAAUUUACAUACAUUUCCUCAAAAAUGAAUGUUUUAUAAACAGGAAUUUGGCAACAUUCGUAUGUUCUACCUUCGUGUGUUCUUCCUUAGCACAGCAGUGCAGAUUGUCUGACAUUAUUUUGUUAUCUUUAAAAAAUUUCCAAUCUGUGUUUUUUUCUCGGAAUUUUGUCUGAUUCCUUGCCUUACCAAAAAUAUCUGCAUUCAUCAAUACUUGUGUUAUCUAUGUAACUUCACCAGCAAUAAGUUUUUCAGCACCUAACUACUGUUGCCGCGCUUCACUGUAUUAACUGUGGUUUUCAUAGGAGUUGAAGCUGAACCUCAUAGCUGCCAAAGAAUAAUGCAGUUUGCAUGUUACCAACAUCAAAAUAACUUUAUUACAUGUAUCUCCGUGGAUAAACUACUCAAGUGAUCUCUUUUAACAAGGUGCUGCCAUAAACCUGUUGAGGGGUUUAAAUAAAUAUACUGUAGUACUGUAUAUACUGUAUAUUGUUUGUGUGAACGUUUCCUUUGAAUGAAGCAUACUUCUCAGGAAUUUUGUAGUCUUAAUUUUUCAUUUUCAGCGCCUUGAAAGUAACCUUCCGAUCAACUUGCAACCAACCUAUCGUGAAGAAGUAAACACGGACAACAAAAAAGUUCAAGAGAUUGCAAGGUUUUCCCUCCAAACCUUAGAAAAGCUAUCUGAAUCCAAUGAACCGUUAGAACUUUUAGAGGUCAUCAAAGCUUGGAAACAGCUUGAUGAUGUGCUCAUCUAUGAUCUGCAAUUGAGAGUUGGAAAUUCUACUGGUAUUCAAAUUUGUAACGCCAAAGUUCUGGUGCCAAAAACUGUCCAAGGAUGCGAAAGUGAUAAAGCACUUUGUGAGAACAAAUCGUGUCCAGCAAGGGACAAAGUAAGUGGUUGUAAUGUUCUGAACUCAAUUUUUCUUUUCUUCAGUUUUGUUUUUAUAUUAUCAGUAUUUCUAAGGCCUUGUCUCCACGGGACGUUUUCAUGGGAUUUGUCCCAAGUUCGAAUCGCAGGAGUGAAACUUCUGGGAUUUUUCCCAGUUACCGUCUCCACGGGACGGGGCUCAUACGGUCCUGCGACUAGUUUGCGCGGGAAGAUAAAUUAGAUAAAGUCGAGUAUUUAACGGGGGUUAAAAUAAUAAUUGCACUCAAUUGACAAUUAGACACAUUAUUUUAACCAAACAAACAUUAACAAUGGAGUAAUCAACAAAAUAUCGCACAAUUCGUUUACACUUCUUCU